rnacentral:lncRNA from 1 species
AGCAGAGGGACUGUUCCAAAGGAGGCUGAUUUGUUUCCUGAGUUUUCAGAUUUCACAGCUGAGAGUCACUCCUCAGGAUUCAGGGAGCCAUUCAUCUCUUUACCUUCAACAUACAACCUGCAAUUGAUCUCUGCAGUUUACCAUCCACAAUCCCCUUUGCUCUUCUGUUCCUAAAGCUACCCACCUCUGAAGCCCAGGUUAAGCUGCAAGUCUUCCAUGAAGCCUUCGCUGGUGAUUCCUGCCAACUCCUCUCUCCUUACUGGAUUUUGUCAGUCAGUCCCAGACAAUAAAUAGUUUACUAAAUAUGCUGCCUC